UCCGCCCGCUGGCGGCGUGCUUAACACAUGCAAGUCGAACGGAAAGGCCCCUUUGGGGGUACUCGAGUGGCGAACGGGUGAGUAACACGUGAGUAACCUGCCCUUGACUUCGGGAUAACUUCAGAAAACUGGGGCUAAUACCGGAUAGGAAUCCUUGCUGCAUGGGGGGGGUUGGAAAGCUUCGGCGGUUUUGGAUGGACUCGCGGCUUAUCAGCUUGUUGGUGGGGUAGUGGCUUACCAAGGCUUUGACGGGUAGCCGGCCUGAGAGGCCGACCGGCCACAUUGGGACUGAGAUACGGCCCAGACUCCUACGGGAGGCAGCAGUGGGGAAUAUUGCACAAUGGGCGGAAGCCUGAUGCAGCAACGCCGCGUGCGGGAUGACGGCCUUCGGGUUGUAAACCGCUUUCAGCAGGGGCGAAGCUUGUGGUGACGGUACCUGCAGAAGAAGCACCGGCUAACUACGUG
rnacentral:rRNA from 1 species